rnacentral:misc_RNA from 1 species
AAGUCGUAACAAGGUUUCCGUAGGUGAACCUGCGGAAGGAUCAUUAACAAUUUUGGAGGCAGGCUGUAUAAGUCUGGUUGGCAACAACUAGCAUGCCCCUCUCUAUUGUACCCUUGUCUAUUUGCGCACUCAUGUUUCCUCGGUGGGCUUGCCCGCCGAUUGGACAACCUCAAAACCUUUUUAAUUGUUAAAUCAGCGUCUGAAAUAAACUUAAUAAUUACAACUUUCAACAACGGAUCUCUUGGUUCUG